rnacentral:rRNA from 1 species
GAUGAACGCUAGCGACAGGCUUAACACAUGCAAGUCGAGGGGCAGCAUAAAAGUAGCAAUACUUUGGUGGCGACCGGCGCACGGGUGAGUAACGCGUAUGCAACCUACCUAUCAGAGGGGGAUAACCCGGCGAAAGUCGGACUAAUACCGCAUAAAACAGGGGCACCGCAUGGUGAUAUUUGUUAAAAAUUUAUUGCUGAUAGAUGGGCAUGCGUUCCAUUAGGUAGUUGGAGAGGUAACGGCUCACCAAGCCUACGAUGGAUAGGGGAACUGAGAGGUUGGUCCCCCACACUGGUACUGAGACACGGACCCAGACUCCUACGGGAGGCAGCAGUGAGGAAUAUUGGUCAAUGGGGCGAGAGCCUGAACCAGCCAAGUCGCGUGAAGGAAGAAGGAUCUAUGGUUCGUAAACUUCUUUUGCAGGGAAUAAAGUGCAGGACGUGUCCUGUUUUGUAUGUACCCUGAGAAUAAGGAUCGGCUAACUCCGUGCCAGCAGCCGCGGUAA